AUGCCUGUAUAAAUAAAUUCAAACUGUGAAACUACGAAUGGCUCAUUCAAUCAGUUAUAGUUUGUUUGAUGGUAUCUACUACUCGGAUAACCAUAGUAAUUCGUGAGCUAAUACGUAGAACAAACCACAACAUGUGGAAGGGAUGCAUUUAUUAGAUAAAAGGUCGACGUGGGCUCUGCCAAUUAUUGUGAUGAUUCGUGAUAACUCGACGGAUCGUAUGGCCAUCGUGCCGGCGAUGCAUCAUUCACAUUUCUAUCCUAUCAACCUGAAAUCCAAUCAUUUCUAACUUUUCAAAUAUGAAGUUUAUCGAUUGCUUGCAUCCUUGGAUUGAAAAAAAACCACCAAAGUGUUGAAAUAUAAGUACGGAG
rnacentral:ncRNA from 1 species